GUCAACAAACAGAUUUAAAACCAGAUGUUUGUGUCAGCUGGCCACCAAAACAUCAGAAGAAAACCAAUAAACUUUGUUAAAACUGAGCAGUUUGCUUCCAUCUCAGCAUUUAAAACCCAACAUUUUAACUAAAUCAUGAGCAGCAGAGGACGACCCGCCGGGUCAGCCGGUCCGAUCCGGUCCGGUCCGGUCCGAUCCGGUCCCGUCCCGUCUGAUCCCACCAGGUCGCUCCUACAGUUGGAGUUUUGUUGUUGAGUGAAACACGGAUUUAAAGUAAAUUGGCUGAAAGGUGUUUAGGAAUGUCGGUUAAGCUGCUGUUUGUGUUCAUGCUCAGGUCAGCCCUACAGGUUCGCCUCAACCACAACAUCACCUCCUGCUGAACCGCUGGAGGCCGAGUGUUUCCAGUCAGCUUCAUUUCCAUGUCUGCACUGGGAGCAGCGACCAGCGCGCCGCUCGGCACGUCAGGAAUCUCCAGCCAGAAGACGCAGAAAUAAUGAUCAGGUCUGAUGCAGUGAAGCUGGAGGAGCCACAAGCAGAAACAGGAGGAAACUUUCUGACUGCAGGAACAAUCAGGAACAUCAGAGGAGGGUUGAAAUGCAACGGAGGAAAUAAAACUGAUGACUCUCAGCUCUUUGCUUUUCUCGUUUUCUCUCUCUGGACGUCCAGUUUUAUUAUAUUUAUCUGAUCUUUUCAGGAACCAAGCUGCUGCUGUUGACAGACUGACGGCGUUUUGAGCUCCAGCUUGUGGCCUGAUCCGUUUCCCUGGGAGCGUCGGCCCGGUUCUGGAUCAGCUGGUUCUGCACACAUUUCCUCUACGUUUGGUUAAACCUCCAAGUGGCAUUUUAUAACAGAGACCAACACAAAGCAGUUCAAACCAUGAAUAAUUAUUAUUUAUGUUUUAAUGUGUGUUUUAAACAUAAAUAUCUAAAAUGUGUGGCAUGCAUUUCCUGAUUCCCCAAAAUAAAAUCCGACUAGAGUUUAUAUCUGAUAAAAUCAGCCUUAGUCUAAACGUGUCGUUGUUCGAUAUUAAAUAUAAAAUAUACAUCCAUAAGG